AGGUGCGAUCAUACCAACGUUAAUGCACCAGAUCCCAUCGGAACUCCGUGGUUAAGCAUGUUUGGGAUAGAGUAGUACUGGGAUGGGUGACCUCCCGGGAAGUUCUAGUGUUGCACCCU
rnacentral:rRNA from 1 species